GUCACCCCGUUGGUCUCCAUGUCGGUGAGGUUUCCUCUCAGGUUCUGCUCCUCCUCGAAGGCCUUGAACAGGGAGUUGAAGUUGCCGGCUCCGAAUCCCUGCGGCGGCAGACGGGGUCGUGAGCCGAGAAGCCCAGCCGGGGCGUGCCGGGGUGGGGAGGGAGGCCAGCAGGGGCCCCUUCGGGCGCGAGGGGGACACGUCGUACCUGGUGGUUGUGGCGCUGGAUGACUUCCAGGAAGAGCGUGGGCCGGUCUUGCAUGGGCUUGGUGAAGAUCUGCAGGAGGUAGCCUUUCUCGUCGUAGUCCACCAGGAUCUUCAGCUCCUGAGGGGGUGGGCGGGAGACACCGGGCUCCGCUGGAGGCUGGGAGGAGCCCGGAGGACCCGUCCUCCUAGCCUGACUGGAAAAUCCAGCUCCAGACACGUCCGCCUGAGUCCUCAGGUCGACCCCGCUCCUCCCACCCCAGCCCGGUGGCUCCCCCACCUGCUGGCAGUAGGCCGGGCUGGGCCUCACCUCCAGGACAUCGAUGCUCUCCUGGACACGGAUCUUGGCCGACUUGAGGUUCUCCCGCAGCUGCUUGUAGAGCCCGCACCUCAUCCUCCCUGCUCUCUUCUCCCGGCCAGGGAAGGCCGCACCUGAAUCUGCGACUUCUUCCGGCCAGGCGCUGGCUCGUUGAUGGGCAUUUUGAUGGACUCCUCAUAGUUGGCCACCACGAUGGAACGCAGAGAGCUGUACUCCGUGUGCACCUGUGUGUCGUCCACAGACCAGAAGCGGUGGAACUGCAGGUUCUUGAGGUACCUGCACGGUGGCCAGCAGGAUGUGCCUGCU